AUGCAAAAGGCUUGCCUCCAGGUUACAACAACACAACCACACCACAAAACCACAAUCCAGACCCACAAAACUCACAACAACGCAUCAUGCGAUAACAACACAACUAAACGCCCCAGAAAUACAAAACUUGGCAACACAAUGCAAAAGCCUUGCCUCUCAGUUGUAACAACACAACCACACCACAAAACCACACGACCCACAAAACUCACAACAACGCAUCAUGACUAUAACAACACAACUAAACGCCCCAGAAAUACGAAACUUGGCAACACAACACAAAAGCAUUCCCUCCCGAUUGUAACAACACAACCACACCACAAAACCACAAUCCGGACCCACAAAACUCACAACAAUGCAUCGUGACUAUAACAACACAACUAAACGCCCCAGAAAUACAAAACUUGGCACACAACUAAACGACCCAGAAAUACAAAACUUCGCAACACAACACAAAAGCCUUGCCUCUCAGUUGUAACAACACAACCACACCACAAAACCACAAUCCAGACCCACAAAACUCACAACAACGCAUUGUGACUAUAACAAAUACAACAUUUGACAACACAACUCAUCCACCUCCCCAAUCCCUACAUUCACACUCGGCCUCCAAAAAAACAAUUACAAUAAUAACAAUGACAACAACAACAACAAUAAGAAUCAACACCAUCACAGGCAAGAAACAGCCAGUCACUGAGGCUGAGAGGCCAGUCAGUGCUACACUGAGCCUUCAAAAAACAAUACAGUAGCAUCUAACUUAUCCAACCUUCAUAAUCACUACAACAACAAUAAUAAUAAACACCUACACAGGCAAAACAAAAAAAAGACUAUUGUACCACAAUAAAAAUAUAAACCGCACUCAGCAGAAUCAGACAUUACAAUUAACAACAAACCAAAGACAACAGGGAUCUCAAGCAAUUAUCAAUCAACACAAAAAUUGAAGAAGGUAACAGACUUCAAAUACUACUACUAAUGUGAGUAUAAAGAAGGGUGGAGGUCACAGCAUCAAUACAACCUAAUGUAGACUGACCAACACCACCAGACUAAGCCACAGCAACGCGUGGCCGGGCACAGCUAGUAAUAAUAAUAAAAACAAAAUGGGAACAAAUACAGCCUCAAUGUUCAUAAUAAUAAUACUGGGAUCUGCGCACAUCAUCCAAAAAUACAUCACACAGUCCUAGACACUUGGGAAGUGUUUGAGUUGUGAUUUUGUGAUACGAAAUCCAGCAUAUCUAUCUUGUUUGCUGUGUCAUAAAAUAAUGAUAAUAAUUAUAAACAUCAUCAUCAUAAAAAUAAUAAAGAGGGUUUGAAGAGACCCCUUGGGCCAUCUAGUCCAACCCCCUUCUGCUUUUGUGCACCAAUAUAAUAUUAUAAUACAUUGUAUAUACAUAAUAUUAAUAAUAUUAUGAUGUAAUACAAUGUAAUAAUAAUUAUAAUUCACUAUUAUAAUUGUAUAUUUAUAUUACAUGCAAUAUUACUAAUAAUAUUGCGAUAUAGUUGUAUAAUAUAAUAUAUUGUAUAUAUAUAUAUACUUGUAAACUGCCCUGAGUCCCCUUCAGGGUGAGAAGGGCGGUAUAUAAAUGUUGCAAAUAAAUAAAUAAAACAUAAUCAAAGCACCCCUGACAGAUAGCCACACAGCCUCAAUAUUAAUAUUAUUAAUAACAACAACAACAACAACAACAACAAUAAAGAGGGUUGGAAGAGACCCCUUGGGCCAUUUAGUCCAACCCCGUUCUGCCUUUGUGCAUCAAACGCAACAAGCAAAACACUCCUGACAGAUGACCAUCCAGCCUCAAUGUUAAUAAUCAUAAUAAUAGUAAUCAUAAUAAGAAUAAUAAAGAGGGCUGGAAGAGACCCCUUGAGCCAUUUAGUCCAACCCCCUUCUACCUUUGUGCACCAAAAGCACAAGCAAAGCACCCCUUAAUAAUUAAAUAUUAAAUAAUUAAAUAAUUAAAUAAUUAAAUAAUUAAAUAA
rnacentral:lncRNA from 1 species